rnacentral:lncRNA from 1 species
GUGAUGCAUUAGUGUCAAUCAAAAUAUGAGCAAGAUGGUUACAGAUAAUAUACAUACCCUGUACCAUAUUCGGGUUGACUUCGGUGUCCUACUGGGUGAGGUUGUUUGCCUUGGAUAGGGGGUCUGCCCUAAUUCUGGUUCCUUGGGCACUCGCUCGCAUAGUGUUGGGCACUACCACAUAUGUGACAGGUGUUGUUGAGGUGGUAGCAUGGUCGGUCCCCGUGAUCCCUACCACAAUGCUGACAGA